rnacentral:miRNA from 2 species
CGCCAAAGGAGAAUUGCCCUG